UCUCGGCGGAAGUGAUCGCUUCGUGAAUCAUCGGUGGGAUGAUCGCCGGCCGGCUCUAUCUAAGGCUGCUGCGAGCAUCCUCCAAGUCCAUGGCUAAGCGCCCACUCGAGGGUGUGCCCCCCUCCAGGGGUCUACACGCGGGGCGCGGGCCCAGAAGGCUCUCCAUCGAAGGCAACAUUGCUGUGGGAAAAUCCACCUUUGUGAAGUUACUCACGAAAACUCACCCAGAGUGGCACGUAGCUACAGAACCUGUAGCAACAUGGCAGAAUGUCCAGGCUGCUGGCACCCAAAACGCCUGCACUGCCCCCAGUCUUGGAAACUUGCUGGAUAUGAUGUACCAGGAGCCAGCACGAUGGUGCUACACAUUCCAGACAUUUUCUUUUAUGAGCCGCCUGAAAGUACAGUUGGAGCCCUUCCCUGAGAAACUCUUAGAGGCCAAGCAGGCAGUACAGAUCUUUGAGAGGUCUGUAUACAGCGACAGGUAUAUCUUUGCAAAGACUCUUUUUGAAAAUGGUUCCCUCAGUGACAUCGAAUGGCAUAUCUAUCAGGACUGGCAUUAUUUUCUCCUGCAGGAGUUUGCCAGCCGGCUCAGAUUACAUGGCUUCAUCUACCUCCAGGCUGCUCCCCAGGUUUGUCUGAAGAGGCUACACCUGAGGGCCAGGGAAGAGGAGAAAGGAAUUGAGUUGGCGUAUCUUGAGCAGCUGCAUGCUCAGCAUGAAGCCUGGCUUGUCCGCAAAACAACCCCGCUUGGUGUGGUGUCCAUUUAAAAUGUUUGAGGCUCCGACCUUCAGUAUCAGUCUCAAGACUAAAGAGGAAUUUCAGCCUCAUCUUCCCAGCCAACUUUAUGGAAUUCUUUUUCUAAACUACUGUUUACAUGAAAUUUCCUUAAGAAGGUAUGUGACCUUAGAUCUGUUCUGAAUUAUUAAGACUGGUGAGUAUGUGAAACCUGCCAUCUUUUUUCUGUUCCCUAAAUGUUCAUGCUUCUUAUAGGCUCUGCUCUGAGGCUCUGCUGAACAUUCCAGUGCUGGUAUUGGAUGUCAAUGAUGAUUUUUCUGAAGAAGUAACCAAACAAGAAGCGCUCAUGAAGAGGGUAAACACCUUUGUAAAGAAUCUAUAACCAGUACCAGGAUGUUCUAGCUGUGAUCUGGGCUGUCUGACUUUUUGAAGCCAGAAGAAUACCAAGUCACCCACCUUCCCAUCCCCACUCCAAUCUCCUUUUACACCUAGAGUGCUCUGACACUCAGGGGUUAGGUUUCUAUUACCCUUGGACCCUGCCUUUGUCUUCCUUUAUAUCUCAAGGACUUCUUAAAUAAAGUCUACAUUUUUGUGGAUUUUGCUAUCCAGUUGUUCAUUUAUUUCAGCGUGUGUCUACUGGUGCCUGCUCUGAGCUCCCCUCUAGACUGGCCAUUUUCACGUGAGAAAAGUCUUUGCUUUUCUUCUUCUUGAAUCCUUCACCAGCCAGACUUCCCUGUGUGUUCACUGGCUCCUUCUGACAUGCCAGGGCGGGAACUGCUUCUAGGACCCCUAACCAAGCUCUGCCUUAGUCAUGAAGAAGGGAAGUAAAGUGACUCAGGAGUGGGUGGAUGCUCAAGUGUGAGUCCCCAGAGCCAGGAAAUGGAGCCCAAACUCCAGGAAGCUCCUCUGUCUCUUCCCAUCCAGCACUCUUGGUUUGGGGGAUGGGGUGGGGAUUUAGACCUUUGUCUUAGAGCUGAAGAACCUGGAUGAAAGAAAGGGAGGGAAGGAGGGAGAGAACAAAUCAUGAGCCUAAAAGUUCAGCAUCUGAUAUUUAGGGUUCGGUCAUCCUGGCACUCUGGCCUGCUCCAAACACCUGACCCAGUGAGUUUCAGUUGACCUUAAUGGAGUGAAUCUGUCUAUGCUGGAAAGAAAGAAAAUAAUUUUUUGUGCUGCACUUCAAGCUUCAAGGACAGUUUAUUGUUAAGAGAGAAAAAUACAUGGCUCUAUAGAAUGGAAGUGCUUCAUUGAAAGAAGACUGCAGAUCCACGAUUCACCGGGAUCGGAAUUCCUGCUCUGAGCCCUUGACAGUUGCACAGGCCCGCAGGAAAAUGAAUGAGCUUGGGACCCAGAGUGUCCCAGGAGACAGAAACCUGGGUUUCCCUUCAUGCUUGGGAAAACGAGUGUGAGACUGGUUUCUAACAACUGUGGGAUGUUUUGAAAUCGCAUGGCAUUUCUUUAUCCUACUUAAAAAAAAAUUUUUUUUUUUAAUU